GCGCGAAAACUUUACAAUGCGAGAAAUCGUGAUAAGGGAACCCCGAGUGCCCGUAAAUUCGGGCUGUCCAUCAGUGUAAAUAACUGGUGAAGAAAGGGCCGGGCAAGACCGGUGCCAGCCGCCGCGGUAAUACCGGCGGCUCGAGUGGUGGCCACUAUUACUGGGCUUAAAGCGUCCGUAGCUGGAUUGUUAAGUCUCUUGGGAAAUCCACCGGCUCAACCGAUGGGCGUUCAGGAGAAACUGGCAAUCUAGGGACCGGGAGAGGUGAGAGGUACUCCAGGGGUAGGAGUGAAAUCCUGUAAUCCUUGGGGGACCACCUGUGGCGAAGGCGUCUCACUAGAACGGCUCCGACAGUGAGGGACGAAAGCUGGGGGAGCAAACCGG
rnacentral:rRNA from 2 species